rnacentral:rRNA from 1 species
ACUAUGCCUAACCAUAACACAACAAUUACACCACUGGUUGUUCGCCAAAUAACUACGAGUUAAAACUUAAAAUUUAAAAGACUUGACGGUACCUCACACCAACCUAGAGGAGCCUGUUCUAUAAACCGAUACCCCACGAUUAACCCAACCCCCCCUAGCCUAACAGUCUAUAUACCGCCGUCGCCAGCCUACCCUGUGAAAGAAACAAAGUAAGCCAAACAACCACACGCUAAAACGACAGGUCGAGGUGUAACUUAUGUAGGGGACCAGAAUGGGCUACAUUUUCUAACCAGAACACACGGAUAAACCAUGAAACUAGAAACUGAAGGAGGAUUUAGCAGUAUACCAAAAACAAAAUAUUUGAUAGAAAACCGCAAUGAGGUGCGUACACACCGCCCGUCAUCCCUGCCAACUUAAUCAAAUAUCUAUAAAAACACAAUAAAACUCAAGCAGGGCAAGUCGUAACA